GUAUUGGAGUAAUAUUUUCGAAGUCCUUUUUUUUUUUUUUUUUUUUUUUUUUUUUUUUUUUUUUUUUUUUAAAUAUGGUUGUUUAGUUUACCACCUCAUUCUCCCCCGGGUAUGAGGAGAUGGUUUGAUUUUGUGGAUUGAUUAUUAGUUGGGAAUGAAGUCAUGAACUUUAGAAUCUGCCUUUCUAGAUGAUACUCUGUUUGUGCAGCUAUAGUGAGGGCUAAUUUCUUUUUAUGCCCCUGUUUGACAACCUUUAAUAAUUUAAGUUGUUGGCUAUAUUAUCAUUCUCAACUGUACAUUUACACAAUAAAAUAUUUUACAUGCAAAUCAA
rnacentral:lncRNA from 1 species